rnacentral:snRNA from 1 species
GGAUGUGAGGGCAAUCUGGCUGGCUAGGUGGGUGUCCCCUUCCUCCCUCACCGCUCCAUGUGCAUCCCUCUUGAAGCUGCGCCCUCCGUUGAAGAGGAUGGCCUUCUCCAAUAGAGAUGGACCUGGACCGUCAUAGGGGUCAAGGGUAUACCAGUAGUUAUGCUCCCCUGCUAGAACCUCCAAACAAGCUCUCAGGUCUCUAACCCAUUCCAAAGAGCAAUACAGCUUUAAGGCCAAAGUCAUUUUUAAAAAGCCAAAAGAGAACCCCAUAAAUGCAAAUGGCUGCUAU